GACGAACGCUGGCGGCGUGCUUAACACAUGCAAGUCGAACGGAAAGGCCCUGCUUUUGUGGGGUGCUCGAGUGGCGAAAGGGUGAGUAACACGUGAGUAACCUGCCCUUGACUUUGGGAUAACUUCAGGAAACUGGGGCUAAUACCGGAUAGGAGCUCCUGCUGCAUGGUGGGGGUUGGAAAGUUUCGGCGGUUGGGGAUGGACUCGCGGCUUAUCAGCUUGUUGGUGGGGUAGUGGCUUACCAAGGCUUUGACGGGUAGCCGGCCUGAGAGGGUGACCGGCCACAUUGGGACUGAGAUACGGCCCAGACUCCUACGGGAGGCAGCAGUGGGGAAUAUUGUACAAUGGGCGGAAGCCUGAUGCAGCAACGCCGCGUGCGGGAUGACGGCCUUCGGGUUGUAAACCGCUUUCGCCUGUGACGAAGCGUGAGUGACGGUAAUGGGUAAAGAAGCACCGGCUAACUACGUG
rnacentral:rRNA from 1 species